rnacentral:rRNA from 1 species
GAUGAACGCUGGCGGCGUUCCUAAUACAUGCAAGUCGAGCGAAGCGGGGACGGGUGAGUAACACGUGGAUAACCUCCUAUAAGACUGGGAUAACUUCGUGAAACCGGAGCUAACCCGGAUCCUUAUAGUUGGAUCCGCGCUGCAUUAGCUAGUUGGUAAGGUAACGGCUUACCAAGGCAACGAUGCAUAGCCGACCUGAGAGGGGGAUCGGCCCGACGGGAACUGCGAAACGGUCCAGACUCCUACGGGAGGCAGCAGUAAGGAAGCUUCCGCAAUGGGCGACAGCCUGACGGAGCAACGCCGCGUGAGUGAUGAAGGUCUUCGGAUCGUAAAACUCUGUUAUUAGGGAAGCGGUACCUAAUCAGAAAGCCAAGGCUAACUACGUGCCAGCAGCCGCGGUAAUAC